GACGAACGCUGGCGGCGUGCUUAACACAUGCAAGUCGAACGCUGAAGCUCAGCUUGCUGGGUGGAUGAGUGGCGAACGGGUGAGUAACACGUGAGUAACCUGCCCUCUUCUUUGGGAUAACGCCCGGAAACGGGUGCUAAUACUGGAUAUUCACUGAUUCUCGCAUGGGGGUUGGUGGAAAGGUUUUUUCUGGUGGGGGAUGGGCUCGCGGCCUAUCAGCUUGUUGGUGGGGUGAUGGCCUACCAAGGCUUUGACGGGUAGCCGGCCUGAGAGGGUGACCGGUCACAUUGGGACUGAGAUACGGCCCAGACUACUACGGGAGGCAGCAGUGGGGAAUAUUGCACAAUGGGCGAAAGCCUGAUGCAGCGACGCCGCGUGAGGGAUGGAGGCCUUCGGGUUGUAAACCUCUUUCGCUCAUGGUCAAGCCGCAGCGUUGGGUUGUGGUGAGGGUAGUGGGUAAAGAAGCGCCGGCUAACUACGUG
rnacentral:rRNA from 1 species